GGCUUCGUAGCUCAGCUGGUAGAGCGUGUGCUGCAAAAAAGUGUAGGCGGCGCCCAUGCGUGGGUUUAAAUCCCACUCAGGCUA
rnacentral:tRNA from 1 species